rnacentral:rRNA from 1 species
UGGGGAAUCUUGGACAAUGGGCGCAAGCCUGAUCCAGCAAUGCCGCGUGGGUGAAGAAGGCCUUCGGGUUGUAAAGCCCUUUUGUACGGGAGCAAAUCCUGCCUGUUAAUACCGGGCGGGGAUGAGAGUACCGUAAGAAUCAGCACCGGCUAACUACGUGCCAGCAGCCGCGGUAAUACGUAGGGUGCAAGCGUUAAUCGGAAUUACUGGGCGUAAAGCGUGCGCAGGUGGUUAUACAAGACCGACGUGAAAGCCCCGGGCUCAACCUGGGAAUGGCGUUGGUGACUGUAUGGCUAGAGUGUGGCAGAGGGGGGUGGAAUUCCACGUGUAGCAGUGAAAUGCGUAGAGAUGUGGAGGAACACCGAUGGCGAAGGCAGCCCCCUGGGCUAACACUGACACU